rnacentral:lncRNA from 1 species
AUCUUCCUUAUUUUUUGGGUAAUCUGGGGAGGGGGGCGAACACCAAAAACACCUUGUUUGAUAUCCUAUUUGAAAUUUUUUAUAAUUUCUCAAAACAUUUCUUAAGAACUUUUCUUGAAAACAAUUUUCUUUAAGACUCAAAAAUGGUAUCCUAUUUUAGUUGUUGUUUUUUUUUUAACCUGUGUUUUUAAGACUCAAAAAUUCUUCUCUCUGUGAAUAAGCAGUCUCCAGCACCACCGUUCAAAUCACAUCUGAGACUCCAACAAACACACAAACCUCAUACCAAAAACACAGGUUCAACCUUGCAGCUCCAACACCGAUUUCUACCCUCUCAUCUUUCUUCACGGUCUCCCCUCUCCCUAUAGUUUCUCACUACCCAGUACCCGUUUCUUUAAUUUUGCAUCAGAAAUUAAGGAAAAUAAGGAAAGAUAAAUCGUAUUUAUUAAAUAAAAAACGAUACAUCCAAAUGAAAAUUUAAAUCACUCUGGACUUCAGCUCGAAAUAAUCACCCGGGAUUGAAUCCAAAAUACCAACAAUCAUAUUUAUCCUUCCGCCGUCAAGCUCCGCACCAGAAAGACAUCGUUUCCUCCAUAAGAUCCAAAAGAGAGACCAUACGACGGAAACUACGGAGAUGAGGAAAAACUUAAUGUAUCUGUCAGUGUACUCUUCCCACAAAAUCUGAUGGAAGCAACGAGCGAAGCAGAGCACAAACGACAGAAUUGAAAGACGUUCAAGAAGUUGAAGUUAUCAGAUGCAGUGACAGUGCGAGACAAAGUCUACCUAGGACAUUGAUUUUUUUCAUAUAUGUAAUACUACUCAGAAACUUAUUUAAUUGUAGUUAUCUUCUUUUAUCUAUUUUUCACGUACAGGUUUUUAACAUCGAUGCGCUAAGGGGGAAGUGUGUGUUAUUUUACAUUUCAAGCCUGGACAAUGUUUCUGAUCAAGAUAUUUUAUGUCUCAAAGAAGUGUAUGAGGGAAUCGAUAGGCAUAACAAGCGUGCGAUUGUGUGGAUCCCUGUUGUUGAGGACUGGACCGAAGGAGGAGAAGAGCAGUUUAAGGAAUGGAGGUCUAAGAUGCCAUGGUACGCGGUGCAAUAUUUUUUGCCCCCGGCCAUUGGGUACCUUGAGCAGCGGUGGAACUUCAAAGGUAAUCCUAUGGUGGUCGUGAUGAACCAGACCGGAAUUGUGGUAAACACCACCAUAAUCGACUUGAUUCGGACACAAGCAACGGAGGCAAUCGCUUUGCUUAACCUUGAGCGGCGGGUGCACAUCAGAGGUAAUCCUCACGAAGAGGACCCGUCGUGGAUCCUCCUGGCCAGUGGACCAUUUAAUUCAAGGUCAAUAGAAAGAGCACAUAAAAUUAUGUUGGCAAUGCUAAAUCUAAUGAUUUUGUUUCUCCUUUUUAUAAUUAUUUUAAGCAGGUGGUGCCCUGUUUGUACCGACUGCUGAAGCCGUGGAGGAGUUGAAGAGGUUAACUUGUCCUCAGCAAUCGACGCCUGUCCUUCUUGAUGGUUCUAACAAGCAGGUUUGCUCUCAUUCUAUAUUAAUAGUCAAGCUACGAUUUGGCAUUAAAAAUUAUCAAAUUAUCCGGCAGGUUGGAUUUGGCGUUAAAAGUUAAGGAAUCUCGUCAAAAUUUAUUCAUUAACUGUGCUGGAAUUUUCUUUCAAACAGGUUAAUAUCGACAAUGAGCUGAAGUGGAAGCAUCUGUUUUUGUUACUCUCCGACGUAGGCAUUGAAGAUUGUUACAUUUCAUAUCUCAAGCCAGUUUAUGAGGGAAUAAGAAGAUACGAUGGGUAUCGGAUUGUCUGGGUUCCCAUUUUGGAGCAGUGGAACAAAGACAAAGAAAAACAACUUGAGAUGUCUAGGUUGAAGAUGCCGUGGUACACAUUGAAGUGUUUUUCAACCAUACCAGGCAUCAAGUACAUGAAAGAGAAGUGGAAUUACAAGGGUAAGCCUGCGGUGGUGGUGAUGACCAGUGAAGGUAUCGUGAAAAAUGAAAAUGCUUUCCCCUUGAUUAAGAAACGUGGAAUGGACGCCUUUCCUUUCUUUAAGGUACCGUUUGGUACGCAGACGGGGACGGGACGGGACGGGACGGGACGGGACGGGAUAGAAAGGGACUGGACGGAACGGAUAUUCCGUGUUACAUUUGGUACGGAACGGGACAGUUGUUCCGUUCGCCGUUCGGUAUUGACUGAACGGAACCAAAAGAUUAAAAUGACUAAAAUACCCAUGUUCCAUCUAUUGUUUGGUACAAUAUUUAUGCGUGGAACGGGAUGAGACUUUUUUUUUUUUCUUUUCAACUUGUUCAAAUUUGAACACUAUAUGCUUAUCCAUUAUUUGUUUUUCUUGGUCCAAAUUUUAUUAGGUAUAUGUUGUGUUCCACAUGCAACCCCCUUUAAAAUUUGUAAUUCUUCUAUGAUUUAGGUUGAUGAAGUCAGACUUCCUUGAGCCAGUGAAUAUUGGAAGUGAUGAGAUGGCUAGCAUGAAUGAGAUGGCUGGUUCUGUCUCUAUGGUCAUGGUUGCCAUGCAAUGUUGAAAAAAUAUAUAAGUUUAAUGAUCAUACAUGACCUGAACAAACGAGCAUAUAAUUGCACCAUAAGUUAACAUACAUCGUCAUAUAGGGCGAUAAAGGUAAACAAAUGCCUAAAAAAUUACUAAUUCUACCUCAAAGUAGUGCCUCUUGAUCUCCAUCUCAACAUCAAGGCCAGUGAACUCACACAAAUGCCUAUGGGUAAAGGAGUCCUCAGCUCUAAAAACAGUACCAAUCUCAAAAAUACGGCCGAAGUCACCACAUAUAGCCAUCUGCUUGUGAAGCUGAGGCGACUGGGCAAGGCAUGCAUCUUGACCCUUGUAGUUGAGUCUAAAAACAGCAGCUCCACCUUCACUUGAACCAGCAAUCAGUUUUUGGUGAGUGGAUUUCAAAAAAGCCUUCGGAUAUCAAGAAUUGCCUAAAGAUCUACACAACAAUGCAACCGACAUACAGAACUAAACUCUUAACGAUUUUCUCUAGCUUUAAAAAGAUAAAUAGCUGCAAAUGGUGGAAAGACUACUUACAUUGUUGGAUUUGUGACCAAGUGGACAACAAGCCAAAAUACCUUUCGGCUAAUAAAAUAGAAUAAGGAAAAGGGGGACAUCAUUAUGAUGUCUAGCCCUUGAUUUGUGGCUUUUACAAAGGCAAAGAAUAUGUGGCAAUUAUGGGUUUGUUCCUUUUGUUUAUUAUAUGUUUUUGGUUAUGCCUUUGGUGAAGUGGGAGCGGCAGUAGAGGAGAAAAAAGGGAGUUGUUUGUUGACAGCUCUAAUCAGUGAGCAGAGGAGAGAGCAUUCGGCUCUCCCAUUUUAAAUAGAGUUGCUGCCUUCCCCCUUUGUUAGUGAUCACUCAAUCAAAGAUAUUUGUGCUACAUGUUGUGGCUUUUGGGAGAGAAGGAAUUUGGUAUAUGUUUCCAUUUUCUCCAUUUGUUCUUUGUUUUAGUGAGAGCUAUUGGGUGUAUGUGGGAUUUGGGUUUGAGAGUUAAAACUCUAUUUGUAAUCUCCUUUUGAUAUUAGUGGAAUUUCCUCGCCGUCUCGGAACUGGACGUAGGCUUACGCCGAACCAGUAUAAAUCCUUGUGUUCUUUGGAUUAUUUGUCUUGUCAUAUUUUACUGUAUUAGCUUAUUGGUUUCAUAUUUGACGCUUCCACACAACAUACAUUAGUUGCAAAUGGUGGAAAGACUACUUACAUUGCCAACUUGACUCUUAAUGCGGAAUAUCCCCUGAUUCGCAGGUGUUCGCAAAUCAAGAACUUGGUUAUUCAAGCGGGUAUCCUGAUUAACUCGAACAAGUGUUUCUCCGGCCUAUAAACCCAUCAUACCACCCAAUGAAUAUACACGUACUAAGAGAGAAAGUCCCAGAAAGCUAAACAAAGCUUCAAUAAUCCAUUUCAAAAUAAAUCAUCUAAAUGUACCUGCAAAGCCUUUUCGAUUUCAACAUCACUCCGAGAAGCAUCCUCAAUGUUAAUAGGUAAAUAAAACAGCAGCCUUACUCACACAAUACAACUUCCUCACUUGAACCUCCACCUAAUUAAGAUCAACAUCUCAAUUAUUUCAAUCAAAACCCAUUACAAUCAUAGGAACUUUCAAUCCAUUUCUUUCUUGUUUUUUCUUUUUUCCAUUUUUUUUUCAAGAACCUAAUUAAUAUUAUUAUUUAUUCAUCAAUUUCUUCUGAAAAUCCAUGGAUAUCAUCACCAUCAAUCACCCCAAAAUCCCCAGCAGAAAAACAACCUUGUUUCCACCCAAACCCCACCCACUGUUUUCAUUGCCUAAACCCAGCAUGACCCGUCCAACCCAAAACCCAGCGAAGAAUGCACUCGCACUCCCAGUUGCACAAAUCUUAACAAAACCCAGUAAUUAACAAAUCAAAUCUGAUAAUUAACAAAACCCAGUAAUUAACACAACCCAAAUCAGCAACAAAAGAUAUCAAUCGUAUAGCUGGGUCAAUCUGCAGUGCAACGGUAGUGGCUCCGUGCUGCUGCGUGCCGCCUGGGUGCAGUUGACGGCUAUGGGAGAGGAUGAAGAAGAAGGAUGAGGAGGAAGUCUACAGGAAGAGAGAGCAGCGGCAGAGAAUGGAUUUAGGGUUUGUUUUUAGGAUUUGAAUGGUGUAAAUUUUGAAAAAGACAAGGAGCAUUUUUAUCUUAAAAUGUUAAAAAUUUGUGUCCCACGGACAUGGAACAAGCCGUUCCAGGGGGGAGGUGGAACCAAAAAUCAUCCAAAACUUGUCCCGUGGAACGCCUCGUCCCACUCGUUUUAGGCGCACCAAACGUGGGACGGAACGCCUCGUCCCACUCUGUUCCAUCCCGUCCCGUGUACCAAACGUGCCCUAAAUGAGUUAUGUAAUGAUACUUACUACUACGGUGGCUACACCGCAUGCUGGUAAUAAACUGUGCAGCUGCCUAUUUUUCCUAAAAUAAGGAGCAGUUUUAUUUGUGAAUUGACAUGUUGAUAAUUGUUUGAAUAAUCGGAAUCAUUAAUUUGAAACGAAUGUUUAGCUUUCAUUCAAUCGCUUUAAUUACUUAGAUAAUAUGCAUGAGAUCGCAUGAACUUCUUGUUGAUAUUAUUGUAAUUGAUUGACAUAUAUCAUGCAGUGUAAACUUUGAGAGGGAUCGAUAUAUGAGUCAUGUGGUUUAUAUGGGCUUGCGUCGUGAUGAAUGGAAACGUAGAAUUCAACCCCCUACGUAGAAUCCAUGGGUGUUAAUUCACAUAAACCAACACACAAGGGGACGAGUAGUAUAAGCACGGUAUAUACGGGACGUGUGAGAUCUAUGUAUUUUGGAGUAUGAAUUAACGAGGAUAGAGGUGGGAAUGAGGAAUGCAUUUAUUAACAUAUGUUUAGAAAUAUGGAAAAUAAUUAGGGAGCUUUAAUGAGUGUUGAUUUUAAUUUGGAAACAACAUUUUAGUUUGGGCAAUUUUUUUUGAGUUUAUGUCAUGUCUUAUGAGUUAAAUAAUACAACCUUGCAUCAUUUAAAACAAGGGAGUUUUAAUAAAACACUCCCGGUACUGUUCACUUUUAACGAAAAACCACAUUUUUACCUUUACCUGACACUAUUCACUAUACCUUUAAAAAGUGUUUUUCAUUAAAAAUGAAGUUUUUUUGAACUUUUCGUUAGUUUUCUUUUAAAAGAAACUAAGUAAUAAUAUUUAAAGAAAUAAUGGUCAUCAUUUCUAGACAAUGACACUAUUCUUAGAAAUAGUGGUCACCAUGUACCACAUUGACAUAUAACACAUUACGUGCAAUAUAUGAAUAUAUGAAAGACGUAGUAUUUUAGUAGUUUUGACAAUUUUGGGUUGGAAAAUAUUAUAUAUAAUUACGUAUAUUAUAAGAUACAAGGUGCAUGAUAUGCAGAUGCACAAUAGCAGGAAGUAUAUAUAUGUAUGCAUGUACCUGAAAGAAACCUAGUUCCAUAGAAUCCAUCCUAAUAAGUGGAUUUUGAAGUGGAUUUUGCAAAGAGGAAAGGUCAACUACCGGGAUUUGUGAAUGAGGAAGAACAUAGUGUGAGUGCAAUAGUAAACUAGCUGGGACAAGGACUCGGUAAGGUGACAGGGAGAGAGAGAUUGGGGACAGGUGAGAGUAGAGAAGAGCGAGAGAAAGUUGAUGGUAACAGCUGAAGAAUAAGAGAGAGAUUGGGGAGGGGUGACGGUAGAAUGAUGGGACGUGAGGGUUCGCGUGUUAGUUUUUUUUAAUUUUUUGAUUUUGUAUAUAAUUAAUAAGAGUUACAAUUCUAACAAAAUAUAUUAAUAAUAUUCAUUGCAAUGUUUGAAUUCAAAUUUAACAAUUUUAAUAAUAUAUUAGUAUAUGUCCACACAUAAAGUGUGAAAUUUUUUAUUUUCAUUUUUUAAAUUGAAAGAGAAGGAAAAGAAGUGUGAGAGAACGUUAAAUUGGGAGAGAGGAGGAGAGACAAAGAGAUUUAUUUUAUAUAUUUUUAAAAAUUAGAGACGUUAAAAAUCAUUUGUAGACGAGAGUUAAACAAUUUUUUUUUUAUGUGAAAUUACAUUACUGCUUUUAAUUUUGUUGUUGUGACAAAAAAUUAAAUAUCCAUUUCGUCAUCUUUUAGUUGAUAAUUUUUUUUUAUUAAUAUGUAGUUUAGAUUAACAAUAAUUAUGAGAACCAUGAAAAUGAUCUCGUUUGCUAAAAUUUUGAAAUAAGCCGAGAAGGGCAGUCUUGGCGCCCAUAGACUGAAAACCAAACGACAUUUCAUCCCCAAACGCGAAACCCGCAACACUCUCUCUCUCUCUCUCCACUACCCAUGGAGGAGACCGCCAUCAUUUCAAAACUUGAAGCUUCCAGCUCCACCGGCCUUCAUCCCCUCGUCGCCGCCUACCUUCAGCCGUUUACCCCAACUCCAUAACCCCCCAAAAACCAAAAAAUCAACCGAAUCCCAAGCCCCCCAAACCCUCCGCUCCCUUGCCAAGAAAUUCCUCCCCUUCCUCAACCGCGCGCUAUCCCUUCUCCCCAAACGCCUCGCCGACCCCUCAAAGUUAGAUGACGAAUUUGCCCUCGAACUCUUCGAUAUUUACCGGCUUUACCUCGACUGCCUGGCCGCCGUGUCCCCUGUGUUGUCCGCUUCGCCGUGCUCGUUUCACUCCCAGAGGGGGAGGAUGGUGAGUUGCCUGGUGGCAUGUGGGCGGUACGAGGAUGCGGAGAGUGAGUGGUUUAGGGUUUUGGAGAGCCUUAAGGCGAUUGAAUUUGGGUCGAAGAAAUCGGUGAAAUCGGACCGGAGAUUUGUGCCGGAUGUGAAAUCGGACCGGAGAUUUGUGCCGGAUGAUAUGACUCCCGAGGAACAAUAUAUAUUGCAUUUGCCAAUAGUCCAAUAUUUUUGAAUCUAUUUUGUUGUUCUAAUUAAUACAGAGGAGGCAAAGGCCAAGGCCGAGGAAGAGUUUUGGAAACAAAUACGCACUGCCCCUUAUGAAAUUACCGAGGUUUUCCAAAGGCUGGUUCUUUUCAAGCAUAAAGCGUAUCCGCAGCCUCCCAUCAUCAGUGUUAAUCCCACUAACAAGGAGGUUUGGUCCCCUAGCACAUUGAUUUUCUUCGUAUCUGUGUUACUACUCAGCAACUUAUUUAACUGUAGUUAUCUUCUUUUUUUUGGGUAAUCCCGGACACCGAAAAACACAAAACUAUCUGAGAAGUACAAACUAGGCGGUUUUUACCAAACCCCAAAAUAUCAUUAGACAAAACAUCACCAAUCCAAACAUGAGGUUCUUCACGAAAACAAAAACCCAGAUCAAAGUUGUAGCUCCAAUUGGCUAGACAGUCUGCAACAAACACACAAAUCUCAUACCAAAAACACAUGUUCAACCUUGCAGCUCCAACACCGAUUUCUACCCUCUCAUCUUUCUUCACGGUCUCCCCUCUCCCUAUACUUUCUCACUACCCAGUAUCCGUUUC